GCCUGGGUGGCUCAGUCGGUUAAGUGUCUGACUUCAGCUCAGGUCACGAUCUCACGGUCCGUGAGUUCGAGCCCCGCGUCAGGCU
rnacentral:tRNA from 1 species